AAAUUUCUUGUAGGUUCGAGUGACCAAGGGCAUUGAAGUUUCAAGCCAGCCUAGGAUCGAAUCUCCACUCUGAGGUUGAUCGGUUGGUGCAGACGGAGCUGAGGCUAGGGUUCCACGCUGUCUUUUGCUUCCGCUAAACGACUAGCUUGAUAUCUUGUCUUUCAAUCUCCUAAACUAAGAACUUCUAUUAUAUGGUAAAAUAUUAUCUCGUUGAGCUUAGACUCUUAAUUCGUAUUUCAAUUAAUGAAGCCAUCGUUGAUUA